rnacentral:lncRNA from 1 species
UCAAUUUGUCAAUAAGUAUUAAAGAAUAUUGGCCAAUAAGUUAAAGAGGGUUCUUACAAAAAAUUAGUUAAAUAAUCUAGAUUGAGGUGCUGUUAGUACCGGUAUCUUACUUAUAUCGAUGCCAACUCUCAGUCUCACAAGGUUUACUGUGGUUUCCUGCCAGGAGAUAUAUCCCAUGUAUCACUUUUCAAUUUCAUAUGGAUGAUAAGUAAAUCUAGAUUGACAACAAACAGCAGAAUGCAAAUGAAUACAGAUGCCGAUAUGAGUAUGACAAAAUUAUGAAUCACAAAAAAUUUCCAACAGGAUAAAGUUUUGUAAUAAAGUUUGGUGUUUGUUUUUAUUUAAGCGCGUUCUUUUUCUUCCUCGCAUAGUAGAGUUUGGCUCUUCUCACUUUCUUCUUGUCCAGCACCUUUAUCUCCUUAAUGUUAGGUGAAUACCUGUCACACAUAUCCCAUAGCUCAGAUAUAAACACGUAUGUAAGAUGACC